GGUACCAUCCCCGGCAAGGAUCGAGGCAACAACUCUAGCAGUCUCAACAGCCCCUCCAUCUUCAUGGCAAAGAAGAUCAUGCAUCCCUACAAGCGUGUGCGCAGGAAAUAUUAUAGAUAAUCCAAGAAAGAAAAGGAAUCCGUCAGCCACAUCAUGCUUGUAACCGAGAGCAAAUGGCAACUCGAACCACGACAAGAAUCACAUGGAUGUAUCAUCCAAAAAGAGGAAAACAGGAUCCGAAGAUUUAUCCAUUUGCUUUAUCUUCUUCGGUUCUUCCCAUGAAUCAACGAUCUAUUCAUAAUUUGUCUCCUGCAUACAGCUAUGCGCUCACGAGAAUUACAUCCAUCUGAGUUCAUAUCAGAAAAAUAGAGAAGAAUACAUCGAUUCAAGGACGAAGCGCCUCAAACACGAUCUACAAAAGGUAAAUUGUAGAAAGACGACACACAAUGAGUAUCAGGAAGAACAAGAACUAGGAUGCAAUCAUCGAUAAGAGCAUCAAGUGAUGUUAUUCGAUUUAUUUAUUUUCUCCUAUUCCAACACAAUAAGCACUAACCUCCAGGGCGGCAUAUCAAUGCUGUCCAAAGCAAAACUCCGACGGCGACACCAGUGGAUGCAUCCUUCGGCCAGGCUGCUCCUCGCGACGACGUCCCGCCAAGGUGCGGCAGAAGCGUCGGGCCUCCCUCAACAUGAUUUGCUAAGGCGAUGGCCUGGCUUGACGCCCUCCGGCAUCAGCGGCAACGGGAAGCGGGCGCACGGCCAACGGCCUGUGAUGGUGGCGAGGGCCAUGACCAACCUACACCGGCAAGACGUGGCGGUGGCUCCAGCGCGGCGCCGUUCAGCGUAUGAGGCGACCAGAUGCAAGGCGAUGGUCGCUGCAUUGAAUUGGAGCUAAGGAUUCAAUCAGAUCGAUUAACAUCCAUACACUCACACACAAAGGGAUAGGGACCUUAUCUCUUUCCCAUUCUUCCGAUUAGUCCUUCCAUUUUCUGUUAUCUACAGAAACGUGAAUUGAGCCAUCAGAUUAAUUAGACUUUGUAGUUUAGCCCUCAGGCUUACUAUUUUAACACUUUAACUCUUUGGUUUUUAUUAUCUCUAUUCUAAGCUCUUGGGUUUAGAAAAAUAUAUAUGGGAGAAACACACGUCAUCCUAAA